rfam:Rhizobium sp. CF142 PMI11_contig_139.139, whole genome shotgun sequence.
CCGUGGGCCGUGUUAACCGGGCACGAUGGAGAUGAUGAACGCAGGGCUUUUUCCGGUUUCUUCCUGCGGCCAACGAAGUGGCAGUCGAGCGUCCAACCCAUCCGGCUU